GAUGAAGAACGUAGCAAAAUGCGAUAAGUAAUGUGAAUUGCAGAAUUCAGUGAAUCAUCGAAUCUUUGAACGCACAUUGCGCCCGCUGGUAUUCCGGCGGGCAUGCCUGUUCGAGCGUCAUUUCAACCCUCAAGCCCCCGGGUUUGGUGUUGGGGAUCGGCUCUGCCCUUCUGGGCGGUGCCGCCCCCGAAAUACAUUGGCGGUCUCGCUGCAGCCUCCAUUGCGUAGUAGUUAACACCUCGCAACUGGAACGCGGCGCGGCCAUGCCGUAAAACCCCAACUUCUGAAUGUUGACCUCGGAUCAGGUAGGAAUACCCGCUGAACUUAAGCAUAUCAAUAAGCGGAGGA
rnacentral:misc_RNA from 1 species